rnacentral:rRNA from 1 species
UACAGAGGGUGCGAGCGUUGUCCGGAAUCACUGGGCGUAAAGGGCGCGUAGGCGGCCUGAUAAGUAGGGGGUGAAAUCCUGUGGCUCAACUGCAGGGCUGCCUCCUAGACUGUCGGGCUUGAGCACGGUAGAGGCAGGAUGGAAUUCCCGGUGUAGCGGUGGAAUGCGUAGAGAUCGGGAAGAACAUCGGUGGCGAAGGCGGUCUGCUGGGC